GGCCAGUAUUAAGUUUCUGUGAGUUCUCUUAGUUACCCAGCUUGCUGAGGAGUAAUCUUUCCACUUUGUAAGUCUGGCGCGGCGAACUACUGGAGAAGUUUGAUAUGCAGAAUUGUCACAUGGAGUCUGAAUUUGAAGUAUAAGC
rnacentral:lncRNA from 1 species